rnacentral:rRNA from 1 species
CCUACGGGGGGCUGCAGUCGAGAAUUUUUCACAAUGGGGGAAACCCUGAUGGAGCGACGCCGCGUGGGGGAUGAAUGGCUUCGGCCCGUAAACCCCUGUCAUUUGCGAGCAAAGCGCAUUAUUUAAAAGAUGAUGUGUUGAUAGUAGCGGAAGAGGAAGGGACGGCUAACUCUGUGCCAGCAGCCGCGGUAAUACAGAGGUCCCGAGCGUUGUUCGGAUUCACUGGGCGUAAAGGGUGCGUAGCGGGUGUGAAAUCUCGGAGCUCAACUCCGAAACUGCAUUGGAAACUACCUUGCUGGAGGGUUGGAGGGGGGACUGGAAUACUUGGUGUAGCAGUGAAAUGCGUAGAUAUCAAGUGGAACACCAGUGGCGAAGGCGAGUCCCUGGACAACUCCUGACACUGAGGCACGAAAGCUAGGGGAGCAAACAGGAUUAGAUACCCCAGUAGUC